AAUAAAUCAGUGCAUCUGAAUAUAAAGGGAUAUACAGAUUCGAGUAUGCAUAUGUAAUAUACUCUAUGUGCACACUCAUAUCUGUAUAACCCUAUAUAUUCAUAUAUAUUGUAUAUAUU